AAAAGUUGAGUCAACACAAAGUCAAUAAAACAGCUCAACAAAAUAAUAAAGCAUUUAAACAAUUUAAACUCAAUUUCUAAAUGAAGAAAAAUACAUUUUAAAAGGGAGAAAACCUCAAAUCCCUUCAAAUUAUCCAAUAAAUGGUCAAGGGAUUUAUCAUAAGUCAAACAAGGUCAAAGGACCUUUGACUAAUUUUUUUGGCAUUUUUGAAGAGUCAUAAGUAUUUAAAAUCAAUUAAAAACAAG
rnacentral:lncRNA from 1 species